AUGCUCUUUUCGGCAGCACAUAUACUAAAAUUAGAAUGAUACAGAGAAGAUUAGCAUGG
rnacentral:sRNA from 1 species